CGUAGGCGCAAGCGUUGUCCGGAAUUAUUGGGCGUAAAGAGCUCGUAGGCGGUUUGUCGCGUCUGCUGUGAAAACUACAAGGCUCAACCUUGGGGCUUGCAGUGGGUACGGGCAGACUAGAGUGCGGUAGGGGUGACUGGAAUUCCUGGUGUAGCGGUGGAAUGCGCAGAUAUCAGGAGGAACACCGAUGGCGAAGGCAGGUCACUGGGCCGCAACUGACGCUGAGGAGCGAAAGCAUGGGGAGCGAACAGGAUU
rnacentral:rRNA from 1 species